CUUCAGUGUUGGCUGUACCUUCUCGAUCAUCCACACAAAAUCAAAACAAAGGUUAUGUGCGAGUUGCUAGUGAUGAGUGUAACUUUUGCAAACAAAAGGGACAUUGGAAGUCUCAAUGUCUCAAGCUAUUGAAGAAGUAGCAGCCACAACCACGACAGUGAUCAUAUCAUCUCAAUGCUAACGUAGCUGCUACCAUGCCAUCUAAUGACUCGUCUAUACUUAGAGCACCACCUUCUUCUAGUCCCAUGUUGACUGAUUUAGCAUAGCCGUUUCAAAAGUUCUUAGCCACACAGCCACAUGCUAUGUCAACCUCUACUCAUAUAGGUUUGUCAUUUCAGAGUCACUCAGGUAUUUCUUCCUCGUGGAUAUUUGACUCUGGUGCUUCCAAACACACGUCAUCUAACUCAAAACUUUUUAAUGACUUGCAUCCUUCUAACUCGUCUAUGUCUGUUAUGACUGCUGAUGGCACAUCAUUGCCUUUAGCAGGUGUUGGUUCUGCUAACACACAAAAUUUAUCACUUUCAGACGUUUAUUAUGUUCCAACUCUUACCUUAAAUCUUAUUUCUAUUGGCCAAUUGUGUGAUUCUGGAUAUUUAGUUUUUCUUCUACUGCUUGUCAUGUGCAGGAUCCUCGAUCUCAGAAGCUGAUUGGGGUAAGUCAUAGACAAUGAGGGUCAUAUGUUCUGGACAAUCUGAGACUAACAUAUGUUGCAGCCUCCGGUGUUGACUUGUCAUCUUUUUCUUUGAAUUCAUCGUCUUCUAGUUUUUAUUUGUAGCAUUCUCACCUUGGACAUGUUUUCGCUAGUCGUUUGAAAUUUUUAGUUUCUACGGGUCAUUUGGGAAAUUUGCAAACUCAUGACAUUUCUAAUUGUAGUGGUUGCAAAUUAGCCAAAUUUUCAGCUUUACCUUUUCCUCGUAGUGUUUCUCAUUCUGUUGCACCAUUUGAUCUUAUUCACUCUGAUGUGUGGGGACCUGCUCCUAUUACCAGAAAAGGAGGGUCUAGAUAAUAUGUUUCUUUCAUUGAUGAUUAUAGUCGUUAUUGUUGGGUUUAUCUUAUGAAACGACGUUCUGACUUUCUUUCUGUUUAUCUUUCUUUUAGAGCACUUAUUAAUACUCAACAUUCUGCUGUAAUUAAGUGCUUUAGAUGUGAUUUGGGUGGGGAAUAUAUUUCAACUGGUUUCUCUGAAUUACUUGCUCUUGAUGGCACAAUUCAUCAAACCUCGUGUACUAAUACUCCACAACAAAAUGGUGUUGCUGAACGAAAGCAUAGGCACAUUGUAGAAACUACCCGUUUCCUUCUUUUGUCUGCCAAACUUCCCAGUGAAUUUUGGGGAGAAGCAGUUCUUACUGCUGUUUCUUUAAUUAAUAAGAUUCCUUCUUCCCACAAUUCAGGAUUAUCACCCUUUGAAACAUUGUAUGGACAUCCUCCUGAUUACUCUUCAUUGAGAGUCUUUGACUUUACUUUCUUUGUUCUUCGUCCUGAGAUUGAACGUAACAAGUUGACAUCUCGCUCUGCUGUCUGUGUUUUCUUAGGUUAUGGACAGGGACAAAAGGGUUAUUGUUGUUUUGACCCCAUUAAUAAAAAAUUAUAUGUUUCUCGUCAUGUUGUAUUUCUUGAGCACAUUCCGUUCUUUUCUAUUCCUGAUAAUACUGAUGACUUGACUAAAAUUGAUCUCAUUCGUGUCGAUCCAUUUUCUAAUGAUAUUGACAGAUUGUCUUCCCAUGCCCCGUGUACUGUUGAUUCUUUAUACCCUACAGGUACACAUACACCAGCUCAUGAUACUCCUCAUGAUUCUAUGGCUUCCCAAGCACCAUUUGAGAUUGUCGAUCCAGCUCCUGCUCCCCUUAUUCAUCGAUAUCCUGAACGUAUUCGUAAGUCUACUCAGUUACCUGAUUUUGCUUAUUCAUGUUAUUCUGAGUCAUUUUGUUGUUUUCUAACCUAUAUUCAUAAGCUAUCUGAACUCACUUCCUGUAAAGAAGCUAUUCUAGAUCCUCUUUGGCAACAGGCUAUGGCUGAUGAACUUUCUGCUCUACAUAAGACAGACACUUGGGACUUAAUUGCAUUGCCUCCAGGUAAACAUGCUAUUGGUUCUCGUUGGGUUUAUAAGAUUAAAACCAAAUCUGAUGGUUCAGUUGAGCGUUACAAGGCUAGAUUGGUUGCUAAGGGUUUUACUCAGCAGUAUGGUCUAGAUUAUGAAGAAACUUUUGCUCCUGUUGCCAAGAUGACCACUGUUCGUACACUUAUUACCGUUGCAUAUGUUCGUCAGUGGAGUCUUUCUCAAUUGGAUGUCAAAAAUGCAUUUUUAAAUGGAAAUCUUCAUGAGGAGGUUUUCAUGGUUCCACCUCCUGGUCUUUCUCAUUCUCCUGGAUUUGUUUGCAAGUUCA
rnacentral:lncRNA from 1 species